AUUGCUUCUUGGCCUUUUGGCUAAGAUCAAGUGUAGUAUCGGUUCUUAUCAGUUUAAUUCAGAAGACCGAUUACUAUGUAAGAUUGAUCAUUGGUUGCAUUAUUUAAUAACAGAGACUGUUUUGCAAGAAAUAUUAGUUUCAUGAGUCAAGUGUUUAAUCAUAAAGUCUAGUCUAUGGCUUCUGCACACAUCCA